UACAGAGGUCUCAAGCGUUGUUCGGAUUCAUUGGGCGUAAAGGGUGCGUAGGCGGCAGCGCAAGUCAGGUGUGAAAUCCCGGAGCUCAACUCCGGAACUGCACUUGAUACUGCGCUGCUAGAGUACUGGAGAGGAGACUGGAAUUUACGGUGUAGCAGUGAAAUGCGUAGAUAUCGUAAGGAAGACCAGUGGCGAAGGCGAGUCUCUGGACAGUUACUGACGCUGAGGCACGAAGGCCAGGGGAGCAAACGGG
rnacentral:rRNA from 1 species